GUCGCUUCCAAAAUGUUUCGUGGGAUAUGCUGGCAAACUAAAGAAAUGGGUGGAACAUGGUCCCUCAUCUGGUCUAUAGGCAGAAUUCCAGAACAAAUCAUCUCUGCUUUGGUGGAGACGAAAGAUGGCAUCACCAGACCAGGGCAAUCACAGAGGCACAGGCCAGGCUCCACAUACAGAGUCUGGAAGUGCUUCGUGCGGCCUGGUGUUGCAGACACCGACACCUUCUUAUCUCCAAGAAUUGUGUUGAUUGUCGAGCUUUUGCCAACAUUAGGGUAACCCACCAGUCCAACAUUUACUUCCCCAUCCUUCACCCUUGGUCCACUGUGCAGGGUUUUGAAUAUCUCCAGUAGCUCAUUUCUCUGUACCAGAUGGCUAAAGUUCUUGACGUUCCUGUUCUGCUCUUGCACUACGUGAUGCAUUGCAACAAUAUCAGUUCUGUUUUCCAUACUCUUUGGGGCGAUAGCAUUUACUUUGUCCCCACCUUCAUCUUCAGAACAGGUUUGCCAGUCAUCCUCCUCCUCAUC
rnacentral:lncRNA from 1 species